GCCGGAGGAGGCAAGCGUUAUCCGGAAUCACUGGGCGUAAAGCGUCUGUAGGUGGUGAUGCAAGUCACUGGUGCAAAACUCUGGCUCAACCGGAGGAAAGCCAGUGAAACUGCAUGACUAGAGUGUGGGAGAGGUAGAAGGAAUUCCCUGAGUAGCGGUGAAAUGCGUAGAUACAGGGAAGAACACCGGAGGCGAAAGCGUUCCACUGGAACACAACUGACGCUGAGGUACGAAAGCUAGGGGAGAGAAUGGG
rnacentral:rRNA from 1 species